GUCGAGCGCGCGUGCGCGCGGAGGAGCUCGGCGGCCUGGGCAGUUCUCCGCGCGCUUUGGCCUCGCGCCGGGGCCGCCGCCCCUCCCCCACCCGGCUCGCUGGCUCCCUCACCCUCUCACCCGCCGCCUCCGCCCGCCGCCUCCGAGGGGGAGAGGUCUUGCCGCCGCCGCUGCUCGAGCUCCCGAGUCCCUCGGGCCUGGGGCCGCCGCCUCGCCUCGCCGGUCCGCCCGCCUCAGCCGACGCCGACGCCUCCUCGCUUCCUCAGGGGCCGCAACGGGCUCCAACUGCGCCACUCGCACCCCGCCUGGGCCGCGCUGCACGUCAGCACGACUAACUGCGUGCGUCAGCACGCAAACGCGCGUCGCGGGGCCUGCCGGGAACUGGAGUGCGCCCCGCGGCCUUUUGCGCAGGCGCCGAAGCCACACCGCGAAGUACCGUUUUUUCAGGCACAAGGAAGGUUUCACCCCGUUGCCGAAAGACUAAGCGUCCCGUUGGCCAGUGCAACGAAGAACGGAGGAAGCGACGUAAGACACCGCGUAUUCGUAGGCCUUCCGCUGCGGGGAGGAGCACAGGGCCUAGCGGCAGCAAAGCGACGCCCGAGCGCGUCUCGUCUCCCGCUGUCGAUGCAGAGCAUUCUGGGAGUUGUGGUUCGGGCGUGUCGCGGAGCCCGGAUGUAAUUUCGGCUCGGGGCGUGGCGGCCAUUUUGUCUCCCCAUGUUGGGAGACGAUAUCCCAGCCGCGGUGGUGCUGCCGCUUUCGUGUGACUUUGGGUUUCCCGAGCGAGCCCGCAGCUGCACAGCAGUCCGCCUUCCCGUACCCGAGAGAAGCCGCCUCAGACCCCAGCCAGCGGGCACCCCCGGAGGCCCCGAGCCUGGCUGCAGGCCCUAGACCUGCACCAGGGGCCCAACCAGUUACCCGUAGCAUGGGCCACGUUCUCCCGCUGUAGACCGGGCUGAGGCCCGACGGCCACCCCUGGGGGAGGAGUUUUCUUAGCUUCCGGUAGGGCAGCCAGGCCGGGGUCCCACCAGACCCAGGACGUGAUACCGGUGAAGCGGCACAUACAGGAACAAGGCAGGAGGAAAAUAAUAAGCACCUUAAAGUUUCCACUUUUCGGUACCGUACUUCCUGUUAAUGUUUCUAAGCCCGUGAUUCUGGGCCUGAUAAUCAGCCAGCCGUCCUCACAGCAGAGUUGUAAGACGCUGGGCUGCUCAAGCACAAGUUCAUAUCUAGACCCACCGCUGGCGAGCAGCCCUGGACGUCCCGCUUAGCUGUCCUAACCAACUCAGGUGGCCUUGAUCCGCAACAGGACGCGGUACCACGUAAUGAACUGUCCAUUUGAGUGCAAGGAUUUAUAUUUGUUAUUACGAUUUGGGGGUGUUUUUAAGAGGCAGGGUUUUGCCCAGGCUGUUCUCGAAUUUGGGGCUCAAGCGAUCCUCCGACCUCAGCCUCCCAAGUAGCUGGGACUACCCGUGCAUGACACCCUAUCUGGCCCUUGUUUUUUGUUGUUGUUGUUGUUCUUUCUUUUUUCACGUGGUUUCGCACUUGUCACCCAGGCUGGAGUGCAAUGGUGUGUUGUCGGCUCACUGCAACCUGUCUCUCAGGUUGAAGUGAUUCUCGUGUCUCAGUCUUCCGAGUAGCUGGGAUUACAGGCGUGUGCCACCACGCCUGGCUAAUUUUUGUAUUUUUAGUAAAGACGGGGCUUCACUAUAUUGGUCAGGCUGGUCUCGAUUUCCUGACCUCAGGUGAUCUGCCCACCUCAGCCUCCCAAAGUGCUGAUAUUACAGGCGUGAGCCACCACGCCCGGCCCGUAUCCGGCUUUAAGAUUUGUUUUUCACUUGCCCGUGGGAGGAUGUACUUAUCUCAGAUGCUAGAGCCGGGAGACCCUCCCCCCCACCACCCCCAUCUCCUGCAGGAGCUCUGAUCGCAGAUUGGAGUGUCUGAACUCUGCAUCUAUGGACGGUGCUUCUGUAAGCCGGCCGCAACUCUGGAGUGGCAUAGUAAAGUGGCAAAGGCUUUGCCUUUCUGGUUAAAGACCCCAGCACCUCCAGUGAGACCCUUUCCUGUACCCCCACUGAUAUUCUUUAUGGAAUGUUUUGUGCGUGAGUCAGCACAUUUAAUGCCCGUGAAUAGUGACAAAACAUGGUUUGCAGUACCCUAAUGACUGAUGAUGCUGAGAAUCUUUUGAUGUGCUUGUUGGCCGUUUGUACAUCUUUGGAGAAAUUUCUCUUCGUGUCUUUUGUCUAUUUUAUUUUUUUGGGACAGAGUCUCACUCCUAACCCCGGGCUGGAGUGCAGUGGCACGAUCUCCACGCACUACAAUUCUUGUACCUCAGCCUCCCAAGUAGCUGGGAUUACAGGCGCACGCCACCACCCAGCUCAUUUUUUUAUUUUUAGUAGAGGUGGAGUUUUUUGUAGAGAUUGUGUCUCCCUGUGUUGCCCAGGCUGGUCUUGAACUCCUGGGCUCAAACUGUCCUCCCCCCUUAACCUCCCAAAGUGCUGGGAUUACAGGUGUGAGCCAUGGCACCCAGCCCUAGAAUGAUUUUUUAGUUUCCCUUUAAACUUUAUUUUUUUAUUCACUGUAGUGUGGUGGACGGUGGUGCCCCAAAACUUCACAACCACCUAGACAUUCGGAAGGUGACCUUAUUUGGAAUAAGAGAUUUUGCAGAUGUAAUUGAGUUAAAGAUCUGAAGAUGAAAUCAUCAUGAAUUUAGGGUAGGCCGUAAAUCCAAUGACUGACAUCCUUACAAGAAGACAAGAGGACACAGGCACCCGGGGGAAGAGGCCGUAGGAGACCCAGGCAGAGAUUCGGAGCGGUGCCCAUGCCAGGGAUCUCCAGGAGGAGCCAGAAGCUGGGAGAGGCCCUGCAGAUCCUCUCCCAGAGCCUUUGGAGGAGGCACAACCCUGUCCACACCUUGGUCUCCACUUUCUGGCCUCCAGAGCUGUAGGGGAACCCACUUCUGUGGUUUGAAGCCACCAAGUUCGUGGUGACUUAUGGCAGCCCUAGGAAAGUGACAUGCACAGAAGAUUUCAGUUUGUAAGUAGUGAGAGCAAUGAUCUUGGCUUUGCAUGGUGCUCAGGAAGCCUUCCCCGCUCCCAAACCAGAAAGGAAUCCAUCCAGAUUUUCCUCCACUGUCUGGAUGGCCGCUCUGUGGAUGCUUCCAUCUGUAUCCAUUGCCGGCACCUGGUGAGAUUCCGUCUCUAGAGCCUUUGAGGUCACUCCUGACGCUGACAUGGCUGUGAAGAGCUGGGUGCCAGGCAUUACUGCCUCCAAGGUUGCUUUGCGAGGAAUAGGUGGGGCAUCAGGAAGAAGCCAGUUGCAGGCAAGGCCUCUGCUGAUGCUGCUUUUUUCUCCUGUACCCAUCCAUGGGAGGGAGCUGUGAGAUGGCCUGGCAGAACCCGCUCUUGGACCCCACAGAAUGAGAGGCUCACCCUGCACAGGAACAUCCUGGGGCAGCAGGCUCAGCACAUUUUAAAUUUUGAGUAUGAACAAAGUAAACUUCAGGGUUAAAAAAAAACACAAA
rnacentral:lncRNA from 1 species